CCUACGGGACGCAGCAGUGAGGAAUAUUGGUCAAUGGGCGCGAGGCUGAACCAGCCAAGUCGCGUGAAGGAUGACUGCCCUACGGGUUGUAACCUUCUUUUAUAAAGGAGUAAAGUGAGGCACGUGUGCCUUUUUGCAUGUACUUUAUGAAUAAGGAUCGGCUAACUCCGUGCCAGCAGCCGCGGUAAUACGGAGGAUCCGAGCGUUAUCCGGAUUUAUUGGGUUUAAAGGGAGCGUAGAUGGGUUGUUAAGUCAGUGGUGAAAGUUUGCGGCUCAACC
rnacentral:rRNA from 1 species